UUGUCGACUUGUGUACUUAUUUCCAAUUGUUGCAAGUUAAAUUACCUUGAGCUUAGAGACUUAAAACAAGACACAUUUAUUUCUUCUAGUUACCAUGGGACAAGAGUUACCCAGGCACUCUGCUCAGACUGACAUCAAGGCUGCAAUCUUAUCUGAAGCUUUAGAUCUUUUUGCAAGCUCUGUGGUUGUUGGCAGAAUUCAGUUCUUUGUAGCUAGAGGAUUGAGGCCCCAAACUCCUACAGGCCCUUGCCCUUCUCUGCCACAGGACCCUCUUCAUACAUGGCAAUUUGGUUCUUUCAGGAUUCCAGGGAAGUUUGCCUGCUUUUCAAAUCUUUGUGACUUCUGUUUCUGACUUUUAGAACCUCUUUUAAAGAGCUCAUAUUAAGAUCAGGCCCAUCUGGGAUAGCCUCUCUUUUGAUUAACUUAAAGUCAACUGACUAGGGAUGUUAAUUACAUACUGCAAGAACUCUUCCUCUUAGCUACAUAAUAUAGGCUAAUCAGUGAGUGUUGUACCAUUACUUUUACAGGCUCCAUUCACAUUCAGGUGAGGAGAUUGCACAAGGUGUGUACACCAAGGAGUGGGAAAUUUGAGGCCAUCUUUUGAUUACCACACCCAGUGUCAGAAGUUGAGGGGAAGAUGUAAAUAAAUCAGUCUUACUUUAUCAGUGUUCUUAACUACUUUCUAUGUUGCAAUAUUAUCUCCCUUCUUUUUAAAAUAGAACUUUUUCCCUAAUACAGUGGAAAUGUCAAUUGCUUUUCCUUUUUCAUUGUGCCAUCAUGUAGACACAUGAAAAAAAAUUACUAUUUUAAGAACAAGAUGAUCAACAUCUACAGUGCAUUGAGUGAAAAAAAAAAAGAAUUUAGAAAGAGAUGAAUUGCAAUGAGGCACAAGGAAACUUUUAGAGGUGAUGGAAAUGCUCAGUAUCUCAGUUGUGGUGCUGGUUUCACGGAUUUCUCGAAAUUCAUCAAAUUGUACCCUUUAAAUAUGUGCAGUUUAUUGUAUAUCAGUUAUGCCUCAUAAAGUCAUAAAUUAUAUAAAAACAUUGUUCACCCAUCAGACUGGCAAAAUAUUGAAAGUCUAAAGUACCAAGUAUAAGCAAUGAGGGGACAUAAUGGAAACACAUACAAUGCUGGAGAGCAAGAGUGUGUAGACUACAGAGGGUUUUGGUCAUACCUGGAGAAAAAGAUGAGUAUGGCUGUAUUUUUAAUACCCCAGAAUUUCACUGCUAUAUAGGUAUUGCAGAGAAACCCAUUUCCACCAAGAAUAAAUACAAGGAUACUCAUUGUAUAUCAUUGCAAUAACAAAUAUUGAAAACAAAUGUCCAUCAUUAGACAAAUGGAUAAACAUGACAUAUUCAUAAUAGAAAACACUACUCAGGAGUUAAAAAAUAAAUAGUUCUGUAUCUAUCAACAGAUCUUAAAAAUUGAAUGUCUAGAAAAACACUUUGUAGAAUGAUUGUUCAUUAUGAUAACAUCUGUGGACAAAAAGUACAAAAUAUUGCUGCAUGCUAUUUAUUGACAUAUGUAACACAUGGACAUAAAAACAUGGAUGAGAAAAAAUAUAAAUUCAUGACUUUGGGAGAAAAGGGAAUAAAACUAAAAAGGAGACCUAAAAGGGAGCUCAGUUUCAUCACCUAUUUUUUCAUUUAAAAGAUUCAGUGGCAAAUAUGGAAAACAUAAGUGUUCAUUCUGGUGGUGGGUGCUGCAUGACUGUUUUAUAGCAAGUGGACUCCCUGCCCAACACACAUAGAAGCUAAUACGAUGGUGGCAGCUUUUGAGAAAAGAAAGGCUUUGUUACUAGGCUGGCCAGCAAGGAGACAGGAGAUGGGCUGAAAUCAGGUCUCCCACAUUUGGGGUCUGGGGCAAGUAUUAAGGGGUUAGAUGACAGGGGAAAGGAUUUACAAAUGUUGGCUUGGCAAGGUCCAUUUGGAGGUCUUCAAAUUUGACCUCCAACUUUACAGUAGGGCAUGUCGAGGCAGAUUUUAGUUCCAGAUCUUCCUGGCCAACAGACCCCUUGCUUUGAAAGAGUUCCAGUGGUCAUGUUCCAGCAGGUUCUGGUCAUGUGCCAUCUUCUUGGUUCAAUGAGGAGGAAUCAUUGGUUCCAGGUGUUGUUAGAAGUCAAAGCUGUUUCUGUUGCACAUGCCUGGGCUGUAUGACUUGCAGUCUUAGCUCUGUUAUGCCUGUAAGCUAGUGCAACAUUCUGUUACCAACGGAGUAGGGCUAGUUUUGGCUGGGUUGGCAGUUACAUAAAGUUUCACUUUAUUUUGUUUUUAAAUUAUCACCUAUAAAUAACCCUGUCUAAUUUUGAGAACAACAUCAGAAAAGUCUAAAGUGAGAGACAUUCUAUAAAAUACUUUACCAGUUCUCGUCAAAAUGUCAAGGUCAUCAAAAACAAGGAAAAUCUGAGAAACUCACAGUCUAAGGAGAUGUAAUGAAUAAAUAUAAUGUGGUAUCUUGAGCAAGAUUCUAAAACAGAAAAAGGACAUUAGGUUAAAAACUAAGAAACUCAGAAUAAAUUAUGAGCUUUAGUUGCUAAUGUCAUAUCAAUGUUGGUUCAUUAGUUGUGACAAAUGUACCCUAGUAAUGUGAAAAAUAAAGGAAGCUGGGUGCAAGGUACGUGGAAACUAUUAUAUUCUUGCAACUUUUCUGUAAAUCUGAAACUAUUUUAAAAUAAAAACCUUCUUUUUAAAAAAAAUAGCCUAUAGUUUAAAUAAAAUAGCUUGGUAGGGUAUCAUGUAGGAAAACACUAUUUUGAAGGUGGGCCAGUCUAUAUUGAAAGCCUGGCUCCUCCACCCAUGCCCAUAAUACCUUUGACCAGUCUUGGAACUACUUCAGCUUCCAUUUCUUCUUUUGCAAAAUGAGAACAAUCCCUACCUUAUAGAAUGAUUGAGAAAUUAAAUAAGAAUGCAUAAAGCACUUAGCACAUAGUAAAGACUCAAUAACAAUUAUUAUUUUUAUUUUAUUGUAAUUAUUGCAUUAUUACAUCAAAUGUGUUUGUUUUGAUUAUUAGGUAAGAAAACCAUGGUAUCUUUAAACCUUGCUCAUUAAAAAAAAAUCAGUAAGCUUAGGUCUGCAAUCACUCUGUUAGCACCCACCAAAAUGUACACAAUAUCAACAAUCCCUUUGACAAUAAGGAGCACUUUGGAGGGAGGGGAGCUAUUAGUAAGUUGGACUGGACUUUAUUCUCUUUAUUCUUAGGAGAAUUUUCCUUACCACUCUUCAUAAGUUCAAACCAAAAUAUCAUGAUUACAUCACUCCAUUCAAUGAGAGGGGAGGACACAAAGGAAAAGCUUAGUGCUAAGGUAGUAAUCUUUCCUCUACAAAACUAAGGAAGAAAAUUACAACCUUUGUGUGCAAAUUUUUUAGCACAAUAAUCUGUCCUCCUAGCAUAUAUGCCCAAUCCCAAUCACAUUAGAUCCAUCCUAUUAGUGGGGAGGAGAAGAAAGGGCAGUCUUCCUGCUGCACUUAUCACUCUCCAGUUUAUCUUUAAAAUGAAAUAUUGUGCCAUCACGAAAAUCCUGUUUUCACAGAGCAGUGCAUGAGAUGAAAAAAUGCUUGUCAUAUAAAAAUCAGGGAGGAAAAGCAGGAUUAAACCCUAUUCAUAGAGUAAUCCACAUUUUAGAGGGAAAUGGACAAAUAUUCAUGUGCAAAGAGAAAACAUUGGAAGGAUAAACUCUCCACCCAAAGAGUAGACAACUGAUUGGUGGUAUUCAGUAAACUUUAUUCUGUAUAUUUUUUUUGUUUUUCAGACAACAAGAGACAUUACGUAAAGAGACUGAAAAGAGAUAGGGGUGGUAUAGGUUAAUUUGUUAUUAUGGGUAUACAUGCUACAAAUGAUUGAAGGUAAACAAUGAUAUGAAGGUGGUUUACAGUCCCAGGAGAGAACUCCUCACGUAGGUAUAAGCUUCAAGGUGCUCUUCUCCAAUAACAAUAUUAAGGCACCAUUUUUGAGCUCUCAUUAUAAGCACACUUCCAAGUUCUUGGCAGGGACUACUUUUAUUGAAUUCUUAGGCUCUGGGAUCAGCCUGCCUGGGUUCACAUUCAGGCUUCAUCCCUUACUAUCCGAAUGACCUUAGGCAGGUUACUUAAUCUCUCUGAACCUCAGUAUUCAGAGGUGUAAAAUAGAGAUAAAAAUAACACUUACUCAUGGAGUUAAGUGUUAAACGAACUUAUGGAAACAGACUGUUUUUUUUUUUAGAUGGAGUCUUGCUCUGUCGCCCUGCCUGGAGUGCAGUAGUGUGGUCUCGGCUCACUGCAACCUCUGCCUCCAGGAUUCAAGGAAUUCUCCUGCCUCAACCUCCCAAGUAGCUGGGAUUACAGGCACGUGCCACCACACCAGCUAAUUUCUUUGUAUUUUUAGUGAGACAAGGUUUCACCAUAUUGGCCAGGCUGGUCUCAAACUCCUGACUUUCUGAUUCUCCUGCCUCAGCCUCCCAAAGUGCUCAGAUUACAGGCAUGAGCUAACACGCCCACCUGGAAAUAGACUUUUUAAAAUGUCCUAGCAUAUACUAAAUAUUCAACGAAAGUUUGCUGUAAGUAUCCCCAUUACAUGGAUGAAGAUGUUAAGGCUUAGAGCAGCUGAGUCAUUUUCCAAGGUCAUGUGCCUGUAAGUGGGGAAGCAUUCAAACCCUCGUCUUCUCAAACAUUAACCUUUUAAUCAUUGUACCACAAAUUACUUUCACUGAUUAGGCACAUGAAACUUAAGACUUUGCAGACAGUUGACUUGUGCUGUACUGUCACCAGUAACUUGAAUUCUUUCCCUACUUUAUGUUAGCCACAAAGAAAGAAUGUCAAACUGGAAAGGCAUUCAGGUUUUAGAAUGGCCAAAGAAUGGAGAAGGGGAGCUCAUGCUCUAAAGGCACCUCUUCCCAGGAGAUGGGAGUUUUACAGAGGUGAAUGUAGGGGGAGGUAUGCAGGCAGGUAUUGGGUGGAGUUCCAAGUGGUAGGUGCAAUUCAUGAACAUGCCUCUCCAUAUAUUGCAUGUACACAAAACGGCAGUGAUCUUCACUUAGCAGAAGGGAUUUUAGUAUGAUAAUGAUAUGUUAAUGAUUCAAGGUAACCGGAGGUCACCGGCUCUGGUCUGUACCGUUUUCUUACUGGUCUUGACUUUCUCUGAUAGGGAGUCGAAAGGUUGCUUGUGGCAUCCGGGCCAUUUGGUUUCUUUAAGCUGUUCUGCCUAUCAGUAAAGAGACUAUAAGAGAAAAAAGCUGCGAAAGUUCUUCCACUACAAAGCAGUCCUGGUGACAGAGUUUCUUUUUUUUUGUCUCAGCAAACAAUUUAAGUUGCUUUGAGUUUGAAUUCAGCUUCAAAAUUAAUUUACAAUAAUUUUUAAGUAACUCUAAAGCCAUGUCAAGCUUUCUAGUUCUACCAGAAUAAAUAUGCUUCUUGGUUAUAUCCAUGCUGACAGCUGCAUUUCUUCAAGAAAUGCCAUGACAAAAGUGUCCUCUUAAAAUGCAAACUUGGAAGACAAACAGGUCUCAAGCUACUUGCUUGAAAGGAUGAGUUAUAUAAAGUGGCAAGUUCUUUAUCUUAAAAAAAUAAGGUAUUACAAAGCCCCAAGGAGACAAUAAAAUGUAAAAGAAUCUGUUACCUUGAUUUUAUUUGCUGCUUUUUUUUUUGAAAGCUAACACUGAGCUGUAUAUUGAUAGACAAGACAAACCAUUUCUUGGCAUAUUUCAAUUUGUCUGAAAGUCAGUUACUUGGUUACAGCUCAAAGGACAAGUUCUCAGUAAAGAAUAAAUAAUGUAUUCACAUUAAUCACUUCCCCAGUGUAUAAAGUAUGUAUCAACUAGGAUGAGAGGGAGACUGGCCUUGGGAAGAAAAGUACAUUCUUAGAACAAGGGUCUCGGCAGAUUUCUGUCCUUUGAUGAACUCAGGAUAGCUCAUGUAAACCAUGUGGAACCACUGCUCAGAAAUCCAAAGGACUGGGCUCUCUCGCCCCAGCUCAGCCAUUGAUUCUCUCUGAGGAGAUGGAAGCUUCUUGUUUAACCCUUCUUGGCCUUUGAUGUCUCUCCACAACUGAGGAGGGGGUGGAAAUAAGACAAUUGUUCACCAGAUUGAUAGAUUCUGAUUAACCCCCUGUGGGGAAGCUCAGAGCAUACAGAGAUUCCUGGACUCAAACCCAGAUCUACUGGUUCAGAAUCUCUGGAUGUGUGUCUUGAGAAUCUGCAUUUUUUUUUUUUUUUUUUGAGACGGAGUUUCGUUCUUGUUACCCAGGCUGGAGUGCAAUGGCGCGAUCUCGGCUCACUGCAACCUCCGCCUCCUGGGUUCAGGCAAUUCUCAUGCCUCAGCCUCCCGAGCAUCCGGGAUCACAGGCACGCGCCACCACACCCAGCUAAUUUUUUUUAUUUUUUUAGUAGAGACGGGGUUUCACCAUGUUGACCGGGAUGGUCUCGAUCUCUUGACCUCGUGAUCCACCCGCCUCGGCCUCCCAAAGUGCUGGGAUUACAGGCUUGAGCCACCGCGCCCAGCCCCGAGAAUCUGCAUAUUAAACAAGUGCAGUAGCUCUUUCUCAUACAGCACUCUGAGUUCUCACCACACACUCUUGUUUAGUAACCAUCAGAGUGAUGAUUUCUGAUUUCCAAGGUCCAAGCCAAGUAUACUCUGGUGGAAUGAUGAUGCCUUCAGUGCCUCCCAUCUCCAGAAAUUGAAGCUGAAUAAGUCAGUAAUUACCUCUAAGCACUAGUUUUUUAAAAAUGCAUUGUCGGCUUUGCAGACGCCGCUGCCGCCUGGAGUCUUGUAGUAUCAGCCAUGGUCAACCCCACCGUGUUCUUCGACAUUGCUGUAGACGGCGAGCCCUUGGGCCGCGUCUCCUUCGAGCUGUUUGCAGACAAGGUUCCAAAGACAGCAGAAAACUUUCGUGCUCUGAGAACUGGUGAGAAAGGAUUUGGUUAUAAGGGUUCACAGAAUUAUUCCAGGGUUUAUGUGUCAGGGUGGUGACUUCACACGCCAUAAUGGCACUGGUGGCAAGUCCAUCUACAGGGAGAAAUUUGAUGAUGAGAACUUCAUCCUAAAGCAUACAGGUCCCAGCAUCUUGUCCAUGGCAAAUGCUGGAACUAACACAAACGGUUCCCAGUUUUUCAUCUGCACUGUCAAGACUGAGUGGUUGGAUGGCAAGCAUGUGGUCUUUGGCAAGGUGAAAGAAGGCAUGAAUAUUGUGGAGGCCGUGGAGCUCUUUGGGACCAGGAAUGGCAAGACCAGCAAGAAGAUCACCAUUGCUGACUGUGGACAACUUUAAUAAGUUUGACUUGUAUUUUAUCUUAACCACCAGACCAUUCCUUCUGUAGCUCAGGAGAGCACCCUCCACCCCAUUUGCUUGCAGUAUCCUAAAAUCUGUGCUCUCGCUGCAGUUCUCUUUGGGUUCCUUGUUUUCCUUGUUCUUUUCCAUGCCUAGCUGGAUUGCAGAGUUAAGUUUAUGAUUAUGAAAUGAAGACUAAAUAACAAAAAAAAUGCAUUGUCUAUCUGCUCAUUUAAUUCCUUAUCUUUUUUUGUCCUUAUAUUUGAACCAAAUUUCAUAGUUGAGAAUUAAACAAAUUAUAGCACUGUUUACAUGACAUCUUCCAUUUAUUAGCUACACCGUGUUCAGAUACUAGAUUGUCAUUAUACAUCAUCCUGAGUAUUAAAAAUGACAUUUCAAAGAAUCAUCAUUCCCAUUUCACAGAUUUCAAAAAGAAGAUCUAUUGAGGUUAAGUUGGCCAAAGCCACAGGAUUCAUCAUCAGAAAAUUCAGGAUUUGAAAUCACUGUUAGAAGAUCAAUAACAUAUGCU